rnacentral:rRNA from 1 species
UACGGAGGGGACUAGCGUUGUUCGGAAUUACUGGGCGUAAAGCGCACGUAGGCGGAUUUGUAAGUCAGGGGUGAAAUCCCGGGGCUCAACCUCGGAACUGCCUUUGAUACAGCACGUCUCGAGUCCGGAAGAGGUGGGUGGAAUUCCUAGUGUAGAGGUGAAAUUCGUAGAUAUUAGGAAGAACACCGGUGGCGAAGGCGGCCCACUGGUCCGGUACUGACGCUGAGGUGCGAAAGCGUGGGGAGCAAACAGG